rnacentral:rRNA from 1 species
AUUGAACGCUGGCGGCAUGCCUUACACAUGCAAGUCGAACGGCAGCACGGGAGCAAUCCUGGUGGCGAGUGGCGAACGGGUGAGUAAUAUAUCGGAACGUGCCCAGUCGUGGGGGAUAACGCAGCGAAAGCUGUGCUAAUACCGCAUACGAUCUAUGGAUGAAAGCGGGGGACUCGCAAGGGCCUCGCGCGAUCGGAGCGGCCGAUAUCAGAUUAGGUAGUUGGUGGGGUAAAGGCUCCCCAAGCCGACGAUCUGUAGCUGGUCUGAGAGGACAGUCAGCCACACUGGGACUGAGACACGGCCCAGACUCCUACGGGGGGCAGCAGUGGGGAAUUUUGGACAAUGGGCGCAAGCCUGAUUCAGCAAUGCCGCGUGCAGGAUGAAGGCCUUCGGGUUGUAAACUGCUUUUGUACGGAACGAAAAGCCCUGGGUUAAUACCCUGGGGUCAUGACGGUACCGUAAGAAUAAGCACCGGCUAACUACGUGCCAGCCGCCGCCGUAACAC